CCGCACCCAGCGCCCUCGCUCCGCUUUCGAUCCCUUUCCCUGUUAGCUCCCUCGCCCUCCAGGCUCCAGCCGCCCCGAUCUCCCUCUCCUCUCCUCUAGCGGUCUGGACGGUGGUUCACGGCGGCGCGGCUCAGUGGUCAGGAGGCGCAGCGGUUGCGGCCUUGGCCUUCUUGGAGCACACGAACCAGUGGCGGUACAGGCGCCAUUGCUUUAGUGAGCGCGGGCCUCGUCGCUGGGGAGCCGGCGAGGCUGCGAUCGACGAGGCAGUGUACGAGGUGGUGUUGCGGCAGAUCGAACUGAAGGAGGAUCUUCAGUGGAGGAUGUCGUGCUACUUGAGCGUUUUCCCCUCUAUUUGCAUCAGAUAAGGAGAUCUGCUAGCUGUAGAUGUGGAGAUACGAUUACUGGACCAGAAGCUCCAUUAAACCGCUGGAUUAAAGAUUAUGAAGGUCCAGAUGGAUUUUUAGCGACAUUUUGGGCAGUCUCUUCAUCCUCUAGGUGUAUCAUGAUGUUUUAGUCUCUUUUUGGGCAGUCAUGUGCUUGUAUUUGCUACUCAUUCAGGUGAUCUCAAAUUAGAUUAUGUUUCCAUUGGUAUUCAAGGUUUUUUCUUGGAGCCAGAUGCAUGUGUACUAACCCAAAAUCAUUUCUUCUCUGAAACCGGUAGGAGAUUUUAUCUGGUGCUCCUGUAUGUCAUUAGAUACUUUCCUAUGUUCAUUGGUUUACACUUAUUGUUAUUUUUGUGUGCAACGGGUCUUCUAGCUUACUCAAGCAUAUUCUUUAUGCAGACCUAGCUGUGCUCCUUGAGUUUCUGCCUUGGUGCAUUCGAGUCGUCAAUUUUGGACAACCCAACAGAUAAAUCUAUAGGCCAAUUUCAAACCUCCAACAAGGUUCCAUGGUAUGAACCCAUUUGCUUUCCCCAAUUUGGAUGUCAUGGAAUUCUUGAACAACAUGGAUUUGCAAGGAAUCGGUUUUGUACAAUUGAUGAUAAUCCACCCCCUUCGCUACUAAAUUAUGCAAUUAAAGCUUCUGUGAUCUUAUUCUGAAGCCCAUUGAAGAUGAUUUAAAGAUGUGGCCACACAGGUGGUUCCAACAGGUGAGGCGAUCUUCGUACGUGCACUUCUGAUCUUACAUAGGUACAUAGUAACCAGCCAUGCACAUGGAGGUGCUCGAGGUUCCAGCCUCAGUCAUGCUUGAGCCCAUUCUGAAGAAGCCGCACCUGCCCUUGCCAAAAAAUGUCUCGUGUGCCUGCAUCUCAGAUUGUCCAUACUACCCCCAGUUUGGCUGCACCUCCCUCUUAGUAUAUGUUCUGCUGUCAUGUAAUUGUCAUGUUGUCUGCAUAUAUCACUGUACUUCGACGUACUAAACCUCCUUGAUCCUUAUAUACCUAUUUCAAUCCGUUUUCAACCUGUAUUAAGUGCAUGUACCCCUUGUGCAAAUCAUGUGAAGUUGAAUAGACAAGGUGUUCCACUGCAUC